rnacentral:rRNA from 1 species
AGAGACAGCAGUAGCCGCGGUAAAACGUAGGGUGCAAGCGUUAAUCGGAAUUACUGGGCGUAAAGCGUGCGCAGGCGGUUAUAUAAGACAGAUGUGAAAUCCCCGGGCUCAACCUGGGAACUGCAUUUGUGACUGUAUAGCUAGAGUACGGCAGAGGGGGAUGGAAUUCCGCGUGUAGCAGUGAAAUGCGUAGAUAUGCGGAGGAACACCGAUGGCGAAGGCAAUCCCCUGGGCCUGUACUGACGCUCAUGCACGAAAGCGUGGGGAGCAAACAGGAUUAGAGACCCCAGUAGUCCCUGUCUCUUAUAC